AUUGAACGCUGGCGGCAGGCCUAACACAUGCAAGUCGAGCGAGCGGCGGACGGGUGAGUAAUGUAUGGGGAUCUGCCCGAUAGAGGGGGAUAACUACUGGAAAGGUGGCUAAUACCGCAUACUAUCGGUUGAGCCCAUAGGGGUUUAGCUAGGUGGUGGGGUAACGGCUCACAAAGGCGACGAUCCGUAGCUGGUCUGAGAGGCCGACCAGCCACACUGGGACUGAGACACGGCCCAGACUCCUACGGGAGGCAGCAGGGGGGAAUUUUGGACAAUGGGCGAAAGCCUGAUCCAGCAACCCCGCGUGUGCGAUGAAGGCCUUCGGGUUGUAAAGCACUUUUGGCAGGAAAGCGGUACCUACAGAAUAAGCACCGGCUAACUACGUGCCAGCAGCCGCGGUAAUAC
rnacentral:rRNA from 1 species